AGCUUUGCGCAGUGGCGGUACCAUAGUCGAUGAGGAUUUUCCGAGACGUGGUUAUUGCUAGUUGAAAACUAUACCCAAUACCCCGCACUGUGGCCUGAAAUAUGGCCGCAAGUGCAAUUUUUGUUAGCUCCUACGGGAG